UGAGGAAUAUUGGUCAAUGGACGCAAGUCUGAACCAGCCAAGUAGCGUGCAGGAUGACGGCCCUAUGGGUUGUAAACUGCUUUUAGAUGGGGAUAAAGUGGGGAACGUGUUCCCUUGUGCAGGUACCAAAUGAAUAAGGACCGGCUAAUUCCGUGCCAGCAGCCGCGGUAAUACGGAAGGUUCGGGCGUUAUCCGGAUUUAUUGGGUUUAAAGGGAGCGUAGGCCGUUUGGUAAGCGUGUUGUGAAAUGUAGGAGCUCAACUUCUAGAUUGCAGCGCGAACUGUCAGACUUGAGUGCGCACAACGUAGGCGGAAUUCAUGGUGUAGCGGUGAAAUACUUAGAUAUCAUGAAGAACUCCGAUUGCGAAGGCAGCUUACGGGGGCGCCACUGACGCUGAAGCUCGAAGGUGCGGGUAUCGAACAGG
rnacentral:rRNA from 1 species